rnacentral:rRNA from 1 species
AUACGUAGGUGGCAAGCGUUGUCCGGAUUUACUGGGUGUAAAGGGCGCGUAGGCGGGAUAGCAAGUCAGAUGUGAAAUGCCAGGGCUUAACCCUGGAGCUGCAUUUGAAACUGCUGUUCUUGAGUAUCGGAGAGGCAGGCGGAAUUCCUAGUGUAGCGGUGAAAUGCGUAGAUAUUAGGAGGAACACCAGUGGCGAAGGCGGCCUGCUGGACGACAACUGACGCUGAUGCGCGAAAGCGUGGGGAGC